ensembl:lncRNA
AAAAAUAUUUAGCCUUAACAUAUUUAAAGUUUUGCAUCAAGGAUUCUGUUGAACCUGUGCUGUUUGAAGUUACCAUACUGCUGGAAUAGGUAGGGAAGUACAACCCGAAGGUUUGAAUGGCUGUUGCUGGUACUGAGGAGAUUGCAGUGAGAGAGAUUCUGUAUUUGUACGCCAUGUCCUGAUUCAGCAAAGCACUUCAGUGCAAAGGCACUAUUCCUGUGGUUUAAAAAGUCAGGCAAGUGCUCUUCUGCUUCAGAGCCUUUUUGUGAUCAGAGAUACCUACCCUUUGAGGUCCAGUACAGAAUGAAUCUAUUCAAAUUAUUGUCUGAAGGGCACAGAAGGCACUAAGAAACAACAGGUCUCUUCAGGAUAUAGAGAACACUGUGCUUUUUAGAAAAGAGGAAAAAAAAGAUGCUUGCUAUUACCUUGGUAAGCUAAAUAUUGCUUACCCAGUGUUCCCCCAGUAGUCGAAAAGUAAGGCCAACACAAACGUUUCUCAUUUCAAGCCAUUUUACCAGCAAGUAAGCUGCUGAAAUACAAGACUGUUGCUUCUCCUUGUUGAGAAGCACACUGAGGCCGAAGCCUGUGCCUGAGGACAGGGGCUCAUCCAGGUGGGCUUUGUCCUGUGCAGAAGUUGGUAGUGAGGGGCAGGACCUUCAUUCCCUGCUGCCCGCACCCCCACCAACUGGCUUCACUGGUGGAUGGGAGGAAAAGACACGCACUGGGUGUUUGAUUUGCUGGCAGCAUCCUCCUGUACUGUUAGCAGGAAGGUACACAACGAAGUGCUCUUGCCCUCAGCUUUCUUUUGGCAGCCUCUAACACUUCUGUGGGGUGUAGCUCCCUAUAGCAAGUGUCUCUGAGAUAAGUGGAACUGAACUUCACAUGAGUCUUGUCCUUUGUCUGGUGCUAAAUACAAGGCAGUCAGGGAUGACUACGUGUCCCCAAAGCAAAGCGGCGCAGAUUGGCUCAUGUAAGCAGCAAGCUCAUAGCUAAUCUUUCUCAGAGCACACCAGCCGCAGCCUCUUUUCUGGAUCACUUUGCCCCCUAUGUACCUAGCAAACAAUUAGCGUCUAGUGUGUUUUGUUCUGUUUCUUUUCAAUUCAAGUGGUCUCAAAUAAGGAUAGGGCUAUUCUGCAGCUCAGCAGAGUGUAUUGCAGAGGUAUGUGAAGACGUAGAGAAGUGUUUGAGGAUGUAAAGUCACAUGGGAUAAUGCUGGGGUUUGUGUAGGAUGGAGAAAGCUCAGCCUUGCAUGGUCUUUUUUGUCUGUAACUGCCUUUUGGAAGGGGUCCAUGGCGUAAACCUUGUCCAAGCUCUGCUCAGCCUUUAUCAUAGAGAGAUCCAGCUGGAGUGCUCCACAACAGGGCCAGAGCGAGCUGACUGUGACAGUGCAGACAGCUAGCAGGGACUGGAGCUUGAGCUCAUGCAUUUCCCUUUUUUUAUUCAGUAGUUUGGACAGAUGCACAGGGUCUACCCAUGCUUUACAAUAUGGAAUUAUUUUGAUUUCUAAAUAGUCCAUACAAGAAAAUAAGCGUGAUGUAUAAUUCACUGAGACUUCUAAAUGCUCUAAGAGAACAGUGCGUUUGUAUGGCCAUGUAUUUUGUUUAUAGUUUUUUUAAAUCGAAAUCAGGGAGAUACGUAUAUGUAAACCAAGGGUAUAAUUACAGUUUUAAUUCACUUCAGCUCUGAAAUGAAUCUGUGGUAAGUUGUAUUUCAGAGCAGAACUCCAAGACGCUGCCUGCAGCACACUCACUGGUAUGAGACCCUGACAGAUCCAGCUAUCGGUCUAUAAGGCAGAGUUAUUUCGAUCCUGCAGUUUUUUGAACGCGCACAAAAAAAUGUGAGGUAUCUGAAAAUGCUGAUCCUGCUUCUUCACGUGUUUUGACAGGACAUGGCUAGCUGUAGGUAUCAAAAGUCAAACAUUUAAAGAAUCACACUUGAAAACCAUACACUGCUGAACAGAACAGCAGAUCGUGAGCCAUUUGUGCCUGUCGUUGCCAUGAUAUCCACCUUUUUAGUUUAAAGUAUCAAAUAUAUUUUAGUCAGGAAGUUGUUUCUUUAGAUUCUUUUGUUGCUUCUUGUUGUUGAGAGUUGUUGUGAGUAGCUUAGAUGACUGUUUGCUAAGAUGGACACACCUAUUUAAUUUUAGGUGGGUGACAAAGCGCACCGUGCCUGAAACUCGAGGAUGAGAGAGGCCUUCCUUUGUUGAACGUCGUGGUCUGUUGUAUGUACCAAUCAUCUCUCCAGUGAGAAAUUUCAGUGAAAAUGCUGCUUUUUGUGUUCAUCCGACCCUUCCAAAUAUCUCACCUUGAAGUCUGAGGGGGAAAGGGGAAGAAAAAGAUACUGACAUCACUUACAUCCUGUACUGAUGACGGACUUCUGACACUUCAGCAGAAGAACGUGGCUUUCUGUGCGUUUCACAUUGUGUAACAUCGCACCGCUUUUUCACCAUUUUAACUCUGUUUCUGUUUCGUUUUGGUUUUUACAUUUGUGUAACAACUUGAUUCUGUUAUUUCUAUGGAAUGAUUUCUUUUGUUG